UGCAGCUUGAGGAAGGCAUAAA
rnacentral:misc_RNA from 1 species